rnacentral:sRNA from 1 species
GAUGCUGGUAGUUGGCACUCCUGGCUUCCAGGAUGGGGUUCAAGUCUCUGCGGCAUC